rnacentral:rRNA from 1 species
UACGUAGGGUGCGAGCGUUUAAUCGGAAUUACUGGGCGUAAAGCGUGCGCAGGCGGCUCCUUAAGUCAGAUGUGAAAUCCCCGGGCUUAACCUGGGAACUGCGUUUGAAACUGGGGAGCUUGAGUGUGGAAGAGGGGGGUGGAAUUCCAGGUGUAGCAGUGAAAUGCGUAGAGAUCUGGAGGAACACCGAUGGCGAAGGCAGCCCCCUGGGCUAACACUGACGCUCAUGCACGAAAGCGUGGGGAGCAAACAGG